rnacentral:rRNA from 1 species
GUAAAGCCCUUCGGGACUUUACUUAGUGGCGAACGGGUGAGUAACGCGUGAGGAACCUGCCUUUCAGUGGGGGACAACAGUUGGAAACGACUGCUAAUACCGCAUGACGCUUCUUGGGGGCAUCCCUGGGAAGUCAAAGAUUUAUUGCUGAAAGAUGGCCUCGCGUCUGAUUAGCUAGUUGGCGGGGUAACGGCCCACCAAGGCGACGAUCAGUAGCCGGUCUGAGAGGAUGAACGGCCACAUUGGGACUGAGAUACGGCCCAGACUCCUACGGGAGGCAGCAGUGGGGAAUAUUGGGCAAUGGGGGAAACCCUGACCCAGCAACGCCGCGUGAAGGAAGAAGGCCUUCGGGUUGUAAACUUCUUUUAGCAGGGACGAAGGACGUGACGGUACCUGCAGAAAAAGCAACGGCUAACUACGUGCCAGCAGCCGCGGUAAUACGUAGGUUGCAAGCGUUGUCCGGAAUUACUGGGUGUAAAGGGCGUGUAGGCGGAGCUGCAAGUCAGAUGUGAAAUCCCGGGGCUCAACCCCGGAACUGCAUUUGAAACUGUAGCCCUUGAGUAUCGGAGAGGCAAGCGGAAUUCCUAGUGUAGCGGUGAAAUGCGUAGAUAUUAGGAGGAA